rnacentral:pre_miRNA from 1 species
GUAUUAGCGUGAGUUCCCUUCAAGCACUUCAGACGUCUCAUUUCUAGAGUUGGUUGUUGUGAAGUGUUUGGGGGAACUCUCGGUGUUAC